CCACAAUCCCGUCACCGUCACUCAUUCUCGCUCCAACACGGGGAGGACGGAAUGGCUCUGCCGGCCGUCAGGAUGUGACUGGGAAAAAGAAACAGAACCACAGGAACAUCGGUGAUCCACGCUUUCUCUAAAGAGGGCAUCAAGGCUUCAAGAGUUAGAUGGAAACAAUGGGCAGGAGAGGAAAGAGGAAAGAAAAAAAAGGGAGGAUAUGGUCACCUUCUUGCGAAGCUCUGAUUAGGGCUCCAUAAAUCCAUGUGCUGCCCGUGAAAAGAAAGGGGCAGAGGGACAGUCAGCGAGUGUGCUUUUGACAUGAGACAGAGUGGAGGGGGCAGUCACGCACGCGUUUGUCUCAGGUGAGGGAGAAAUGACGUCCAGUCUGCCUCUGUCCCGUCCCUGUGAAGGUGGAUGGAUGUCAGAAAGCACGUCCCGCUGGAAGGAACUGCUGAGCAGCGGUGAAGUCAAGGACAUAUGGAACCAGAGAGUGAACAUGAGUCCUGCCACUUAUCCUCCUUGCAGUCUUAGAGAAGUCACCAACCUCUCUCUGAGCCCCGAUUCCUUCCUCUGCUAAACGGACAUGGCAGUAACCUAGCCCACGUGUCACAAGGCUGUUGUGAGGAUUAAACAAGACACUUCAUGGUGUGCCUCACACGUGGUAAGUCCCCGCAAACAGAAUUAGCAGGACCUGACAAACGGUUUCUGACAACGUGUCUGCCAAUACAGGGUU